rnacentral:rRNA from 1 species
AUGUCAUGUGUCCUUGGUGGCACAUGGACGGGCGAUUGUGUUUGUAUGUUUAGUUACAUUUUCUUUUCCAUUUUUGUGUAUGUGUUUUGUUUAUUGUAUCUCUUUUGUAAGGUGUUUUUUUUAGUUCUGGUCAGGCAUGCAGGGGGAUCUAGGCAUCUGGCGGCCGGCUCAAGUUCGUCGCCUAGCUCAUCACGAAGAAUCACUCACCUUUGUCAUUUUUGUGUUCCUGGCCUCGCUUGGCAUGUAAGGUUUACGGGUGUAAACAGCCCAAAUACCAGGCCAAAACUGGCGGAGGAGGAAAAUAAUGACAAUCUAAGCACACGAUUAAGAGAAAAAAAUAGGCUCUAUAAAAACGAGACCUGA